rnacentral:rRNA from 1 species
CGUAGGUGCGAGCGUUAUCCGGAAUUAUUGGGCGUAAGAGCUCGUAGGCGGUUUGUCGCGUCUGUCGUGAAAGUCCGGGGCUUAACCCCGGAUCUGCGGUGGGUACGGGCAGACUAGAGUGCAGUAGGGGAGACUGGAAUUCCUGGUGUAGCGGUGGAAUGCGCAGAUAUCAGGAGGAACACCGAUGGCAAAGGCAGGUCUCUGGGCUGUAACUGACGCUGAGGAGCGAAAGCAUGGGGAGCGAACAGGAUU